GUGAGAGAGAAGAGUGGAGGCUGGUUCUCAGGCUCCAGAAGCAUAAGCCUGCAUGGAGCAUAGCGUCACUGAGCAAGACAGGUGUGGAGGAUGAGAAGCGGGCCACAGGAUGGGAAGGGAAUCUGUGUGGAGGCGGUGCCCUAAACAUGCUGCCUUGAGGAGGGACCUCUACAUGGGGUGGCCGGGCACAGCCAGGCUACCCAUGGGGACCUCAACAGCUUUGCCAUUGCACACUAUCUUUGCAGACAAGAUCUUAAUCACAUCCAACUUUCUGCAGUUGCACAGGGUACCUCAGACCCACAUCCCAGAUGACAUUCCUCAGAAGCUCGCAGCUGGAGAUGACAUCACCUUAGACAACAUCACCCUAGCCCAAGACAUCGCUAUUAGAGAUACAUCACCUGGACACUAAAGCCUCCAACCCAGUGACACUCUCAAGGUGCUGACAAAAUGGACAUGGACAUUUGUUGCUUUUCUUCUUUUGAAUUAGGAACUCUAUUGUGUUUCCUGAAUUUACUGUCUGCUUGGCCCAUGAUCCUGGUAUGUUCCUUGCUCUCUGCCAAAACAUGCACCGUCCCCUCCACACCUAAAGGAAAACCUGGUAGAAGCUACUACUCUCAAUGCCAUUCUAAAAUUGACGAAGAGUAUUAUUUUCCCCAAGAGGCAGCUGCUGCAGGCCAGUGAAUCCUCUGGACCCUGGGGAGAGGGUCAUACACUCCCUAGUGACUUCUACUGUAUGCUCCAGCUUUCCACCAGGACCUCCUGCCCUGUCCCCAACUGUAACGACCACAACCACCCCAUCCCCUUGGUUACACACAAAUAUCACCAGUCUUUACAUGUACUUUACUGACUUCUCAGAUAAUACCCUCCAACAAGAUAACUGCAGGACUUGCCACCAUGACCUGAGAAAUACACCAAGAUAUUAUUGUCCAAUUUUUUUGAGAUAUAUAUAUAUUUCUCAUACUUUUAACAUACUCUGCAAUCCACCAAGAUAUUGGUAGAGACCCUGGAAAUUUCAAAUCUAUUUCGUCUGCUAAUGCCAUGUGAAUGGGAAACUUAGAUACAGGCUGGCCUACAAGGACUCCUUAUACUUCAAUUUUUGUUCCUCCUUUCAACUCUCAUAAAAAAUAUUUUCUGUACUAUUUAGGGCAAA
rnacentral:lncRNA from 1 species